rnacentral:hammerhead_ribozyme from 1 species
ACUGGCUGACGAGUCCCAGAUAGGACGAAAUGCGCAUCUUGGAU